CGGGUGAGUAACACGUAUCCAACCUGCCGUCUACUCUUGGACAGCCUUCUGAAAGGAAGAUUAAUACAAGAUGGCAUCAUGAGUCCGCAUGUUCACAUGAUUAAAGGUAUUCCGGUAGACGAUGAGGAUGCGUUCCAUUAGAUAGUAGGCGGGGUAACGGCCCACCUAGUCUUCGAUGGAUAGGGGUUCUGAGAGGAAGGUCCCCCACAUUGGAACUGAGACACGGUCCAA
rnacentral:rRNA from 1 species